ensembl:snRNA U6 U6 spliceosomal RNA
GAGCUUGAUUCAGCAGCACAUAUACUAAAAUUGGAACAAUACAGAGAAGAUUAGCAUAGCACAUAUGAAAGGAUGACAUGCAAAUUUGUGAAGUGUUCCAUAUUUUU